rnacentral:rRNA from 1 species
UAAGGAAUAUUGGUCAAUGGAGGCAACUCUGAACCAGCCAUGCCGCGUGCAGGAAGAAGGCCCUAUGGGUCGUAAACUGCUUUUGAACAAGAGAAAACCCCGGUACGUGUACUGGGUUGAUAGUAUUGUUAGAAUAAGCAUCGGCUAACUUCGUGCCAGCAGCCGCGGUAAGACGAAGGAUGCAAGCGUUAUCCGGAUUCAUUGGGUUUAAAGGGUGCGUAGGCGGACUGAUAAGUCAGUGGUGAAAUCUCUCGGCUUAACCGAGAAACUGCCAUUGAUACUGUUAGUCUAGAGUACAGAUGAUGUGGGCGGAAUAUGACAUGUAGUGGUGAAAUACUUAGAUAUGUCAUAGAACACCGAUUGCGAAGGCAGCUCACAAAACUGUAACUGACGCUGAGGCACGAAAGUGCGGGGAUCAAACAGGAUUAGAUACCCUCGUAGUCCCUGAGCGGGCUGGCAAGGCGCAU